ACAGAUCUCCUACGGGGGCAGCAGUGGGGAAUAUUGCACAAUGGGCGAAAGCCUGAUGCAGCGACGCCGCGUGAGCGAAGAAGUAUUUCGGUAUGUAAAGGCUCUAUCAGCAGGGAAGAAAAUGACGGUACCUGACUAAGAAGCCCCGGCUAACUACGUGCC
rnacentral:rRNA from 1 species